UCCGACCUCAGAUCAGACGAGAGUACCCG
rnacentral:rRNA from 1 species